rnacentral:rRNA from 1 species
GACGAACGCUGGCGGCGUGCCUAAUACAUGCAAGUAGGACGCACAGUUUAUACCGUAGCUUGCUACACCAUAGACUGUGAGUUGCGAACGGGUGAGUAACGCGUAGGUAACCUGCCUGGUAGCGGGGGAUAACUAUUGGAAACGAUAGCUAAUACCGCAUAAUAUUAAUUAUUGCAUGAUAAUUAAUUGAAAGGUGCAAUUGCACCACUACCAGAUGGACCUGCGUUGUAUUAGCUAGUAGGUGAGGUAACGGCUCACCUAGGCGACGAUACAUAGCCGACCUGAGAGGGUGAUCGGCCACACUGGGACUGAGACACGGCCCAGACUCCUACGGGAGGCAGCAGUAGGGAAUCUUCGGCAAUGGACGAAAGUCUGACCGAGCAACGCCGCGUGAGUGAAGAAGGUUUUCGGAUCGUAAAGCUCUGUUGUAAGAGAAGAACGGGUGUGAGAGUGGAAAGUUCACACUGUGACGGUAGCUUACCAGAAAGGGACGGCUAACUACGUG